rnacentral:misc_RNA from 1 species
GCAAAUUCAAUCCAAGGCAACAAGGUGAAUAACAUUGAUGUUGUUUACACUCCCUGGUCCAAUUUAAAGAAAACUGCUUCCAUGGAUGUUGGCCAAGUUGGCUUCCACAAUCCAAAGAUGGUUCGAACUGUGAGAGUGGAGAAGCGGAUAAAUGAGAUAGUUAAUAGACUGAACAGAACAAAAGUUGAGAGAAGGCCUGAUUUGAAAGCUGAGAGAGAAGCUGUCAAUGCAGCUGAAAGAGCAGAGAGAAAGCUUCAACUGAGGGAUAAAAAACGACGGGAGGAAAUGGAAAGGCUUGAAAAAGAGAGACAGGCAGAAAUAAGGAGCUACAAAGGUUUGAUGGUUUCUGAAAAGAUGACAUCUAACAAGCAGAUUGCAGCUGAAAACAAGUCCUUGCAGGAACUGGAAGA